AGUGCAAUUGUUGGGUCAUAUGGUAGUUGCAUGUUUAAUUGUAUAAGAAACUGCCAGACUGUUUUCCAGAGUGGCUGUACCGUUUUACAUUCCCACCAGCAAU
rnacentral:pre_miRNA from 1 species